CGGCUGCGCAAACUCGACGCGCGCACUCUUGUCCGCUGACUAGGGCUCCUCCCUUCAGCUUCAGUCCCUCGGGGCGUUUGGGCAGCCUACGCUUUCCGACUAUGGAAAUGAUAUUAGACAAAAAGCAACUUCAAGCGAUUUUCUUAUUUGAGUUCAAAAUGGGUCAUAAAAGCAGCAGAGACAACUCGAAACGUGAACAGCGCAUUUGGCCCUGGAACUACUAAUGAACAUACAGGGCAGCUGUGAUUCAAGAAGUUUUGCAAAGGAGACUAGAGCCUUGAGUAUGAGUAACACAGUGGCUGGCCAUUGGAAGUUGACAACAACUAAUUGAGAGCAAUUGUCGAAGCUGAUCCUCUUAUAACUACACAGGAAGUUGCCUACGAACUCAAUUUCAACCAUUCUAUGGUCGUUUGGCAUUUGAAGCUAAUUGGAAAGAUGAGAAAGCUCAAUAAGUGGGUGCCUCAUGAGCUGAGCAAAAAUUUUUUAAAUUGUCAUUUUGAAGUGUCGUCAUCUGCGCAACAACAAUAAACCAUUUCUCAAUCAGA